rnacentral:rRNA from 1 species
UACGGAGGGUGCGAGCGUUGUCCGGAAUUAUUGGGCGUAAAGAGCUCGUAGGCGGUUUGUCGCGUCGGCCGUGAAAACUUGGGGCUUAACCCCAAGCCUGCGGUCGAUACGGGCAGACUUGAGUUCGGCAGGGGAGACUGGAAUUCCUGGUGUAGCGGUGAAAUGCGCAGAUAUCAGGAGGAACACCGGUGGCGAAGGCGGGUCUCUGGGCCGAUACUGACGCUGAGGAGCGAAAGCGUGGGGAGCGAACAGG